rnacentral:rRNA from 1 species
CCUACGGGUGGCAGCAGUGAGGAAUAUUGGUCAAUGGCCGUAAGGCUGAACCAGCCAAGUAGCGUGAGGGAAGACUGCCCUACGGGUUGUAAACUGCUUUUAUACGGGAAUAACGCGCCUUACGUGUAGGGCUUUGCAUGUACCGUAUGAAUAAGGACCGGCUACUUCCGUGCCAGCAGCCGCGGUAAUACGGAAGGUCCGGGCGUUAUCCGGAUUUAUUGGGUUUAAAGGGAGCGUAGGCCGCAUGUCAAGCGUGCUGUGAAAUGUACGGGCUCAACCCGGGCCUUGCAGCGCGAACUGGCGUGCUUGAGUCCGCGGAAAGCAGGCGGAAUUCGUCGUGUAGCGGUGAAAUGCUUAGAUAUGACGAAGAACCCCGAUUGCGAAGGCAGCUUGCUGCAGCGGAACUGACGCUGAUGCUCGAAAGCGCGGGUAUCGAACAGGAUUAGAUACCCCUGUAGUC